rnacentral:rRNA from 1 species
UGAUGAGAGCUUGCUCUCUGAUUUUAGCGGCGGACGGGUGAGUAACACGUGGGCAACCUGCCCUACAGAUGGGGAUAACUCCGGGAAACCGGGGCUAAUACCGAAUAAUCAGUUUGUCCGCAUGGACAAACUCUGAAAGACGGUUUCGGCUGUCACUGUAGGAUGGGCCCGCGGCGCAUUAGCUAGUUGGUGGGGUAAUGGCCUACCAAGGCGACGAUGCGUAGCCGACCUGAGAGGGUGAUCGGCCACACUGGGACUGAGACACGGCCCAGACUCCUACGGGAGGCAGCAGUAGGGAAUCUUCCACAAUGGACGAAAGUCUGAUGGAGCAAUGCCGCGUGAGCGAAGAAGGUUUUCGGA